UGGGGCUAGUUUCCUUUUUCCAUCUGUCCCUCCUUGGAGGGAUCUAUAGGCUGGCUGGCUGGGGGGAGCUUGGGGAGACCAUCUGCCUGCUGGAAGAGGAACAUCGUCGAAGGAGGAAUAUCAAGGAGAGCUGCUAUUGCCGACGUUGCACAGAGUAUCAACUUUUCAGCGCUAUCCAAAAGGGCACUAAGAGCUACUCUUCUAAAAACAUUUCCAUGAGCUUCCUUGAUAAACUGAACCAGUUGCCGGAUGUCACAGUACAAUCCCUAAGAAAGAGAGAGGGAAAGAAUGAAAGACCAAUGUGUUAUGAGGUCAAUUAAAGGGAAACUUCAGAAUUAUUUUCCCCAUAAUCAUGAUUUUUAAACAACAUCACCCCAAGUUUCAGUUCUUUCAUUUUAAAGUUGCUGCUAUUGCCAUAACUAAGAAUCUUAAAAAUAUGAAGUGAAUUUAACCAAUAAAGUGGACCUUGCCUAAAUAUACCCAAGACUGCUUGGAAAGGGAACUGCCAGGUGCUGUCAUCUCCCCCAACAUGGGAAUGACUCCUUCAUGUCAAUUAACAGUGACUGGAUUUGAUGUAGAUGUGGACAUUUUACAUGAAAGAAUGUUAUUCUUUGAAGAUCUUUGGAACUGCAGAGCAGAUUCCAGAAGGCAUUUGCCAACAUGAUUUUUCACUAAGAGAAGUGACACAGCUCUAGUAUAUUGAGGAUUUAAUUUCAUGUUAAUUGAACAUCUUUGUCAACAUUUGGAGACAAAAGAAUAAAACCAAAUGCAGAUUUGCCUUAUGGACUCUCUCCCAUGUGCUCUCAUUUCAGCAUAUGUAUAUAAAUGCUUAUGCUGCUAUAUGCCAGGAUUUCAUGGCAUGUCUGUUAUUAAAGAAUUGAUGUAAAUGUC